rnacentral:rRNA from 1 species
UGAAAGCAGCGGUGAAUCUACAGGAUGUCUACCUGUAUGAUAGACUGGUAUGUGCCAAGUGCCAAGAGAAAGUAAAGAAUGCGCGCAGGUAUGAUGCACUGGUACGUGGCAUGUGCCCAGGCGUGAAUCAACCUAUAAAGUUCCCAUAUACAAACGAGGACCAGCGUGCAGUGCAGAAGCGAAUGCCCCGAGGCAUUGGGUCACUUGCCAAAAUCCACUUCCUGCCAUCUAAUCAAAUAAGGGCUGAACAUCGUCCAAGGAUAGCUGUAGAUUCUUUGGGUGCCAUUGAAGAUUAGCUGGAGGUUGUCCUUGUAUAGC